rnacentral:rRNA from 1 species
CGCAGGCCUAACACAUGCAAGUCGAGCGGAAACGAGUUAUCUGAACCUUCGGGGAACGAUAACGGCGUCGAGCGGCGGACGGGUGAGUAAUGCCUAGGAAAUUGCCCAGAUGUGGGGGAUAACCAUUGGAAACGAUGGCUAAUACCGCAUGAUGCCUACGGGCCAAAGAGGGGGACCUUCGGGCCUCUCGCGUCAGGAUAUGCCUAGGUGGGAUUAGCUAGUUGGUGAGGUAAGGGCUCACCAAGGCGACGAUCCCUAGCUGGUCUGAGAUGAUGAUCAGCCACACUGGAACUGAGACACGGUCCAGACUAAUACGGGAGGCAGCAGUGGGGAAUAUUGCACAAUGGGCGCAAGCCUGAUGCAGCCAUGCCGCGUGUAUGAAGAAGGCCUUCGGGUUGUAAAGUACUUUCAGUCGUGAGGAAGGUGGGGGCGUUAAUAGCGGCAUCAUUUGACGUUAGCGACAGAAGAAGCACCGGCUAACUCCGUGCCAGCAGCCGCGGUAAUACGGAGGGUGCGAGCGUUAAUCGGUAUUACUGGGCGUAAAGCGCAUGCAGGUGGUCUGUUAAGUCAGAUGUGAAAGCCCGGGGCUCAACCUCGGAAUAGCAUUUGAAACUGGCAGACUAGAGUACUGUAGAGGGGGGUAGAAUUUCAGGUGUAGCGGUGAAAUGCGUAGAGAUCUGAAGGAAUACC